UAUGGAAGCCAUGUUCUCAUUUCAACCUGCGUUUCAAACAGCGGUGAAUCGAGAUAGGUGAGAGCGGUUACAGUGAGUGAAAAAAUUCCAUGCGAGUGUAAUAACAAAGGUAUACACUGGUUUGGAACUGUUUGUGUACUUUCAUUGUAACAUGCAUUUAUCUGCAUUUCAUUAGAUUAUAGUUAUCUGUUUUUAAACGCUGCUCUUCAACAAUCUCUGCUUGCCUUUGGCUUUUAUUGGAUAUUAUAUGAGAAGCAUAAACAUGGCAAGAAUUGAACCUAUUAUUACUGACUGAAUAUUAUGACUGUAACCUCUUGGUGCGAUAAUCUGUCCCAUCAGAUCUCUUGUGUAAAUAGUUAUUUCAAUUAUAUGAAUGCCAUGACCAUUUUUAUCUUGAUAUAUUGAACUUUUCCUGUACAACUUUUUUUAACAUUUUGUUUGUUCUUUGGUGAUUUAUGUAAUCAUAUUAACAAAUUGAAGUUAUGUAAAAAAUGAUAAAAAUAAAAACGCAUAACUACACAGA